GCAUUCAAGAUGGAGCUAAUCUGCAGAGUUUGCCGAACAGAAACAUGUUUUUUGCCUCCGGAAAGUACAUCACUGGGAUCAACAAUUGCUUAUCGACUCGCAUAUUCUGCGUCCUUUGAAGGUUUCAUUGCACUUUGGAUGUUUUGAAAGCUCACUGGAUGAUGAUGUCUACAUGCGAGAGAAAUAGACUCUUUCAGAUGAAUCCUUGACAAUAAGACUAUAAGGACUUUGCUGAGUGGAUCUGCCAACAAAGUUGGACGACAAAACGGUCUCUGAAUGGCUUGGAUUAAGCAGAUUUGAAGCGAGAGGAUUUGAUGAACGUAUACUACGUGCCCAGAGUAUUCUAGGCCAGACUUUGGUGGCUGUUGUGAACAACAUCUUGGGCCAAGCGAGGACUUCUAAGGCAAGCUUUUAAAGCACUCAAAGCGGAUGUGCUUUUUAACAAACGGACGCAAAUUUUCCCAUGAUUCGAUUAUUUAAAGAUGGCAACAUUUCGCUUUCAUUUCAGCCAUCUCACUGAGCUUAACUUCCAGAUUUGUCUACCAUUUGAAGACUUUUAUUAUUAAAGUACGACUAAUAAAUGCUGCACUCUGUGUGCCGGUUGAAUAUG